GAGAGAAUGCCGGAAUGAGUAGCGAGAGAAAGGUGAGAAUCCUUUCGGCCGAAUAUCUAAGGUUUCCAGAGUAAAGCUGAUCUGCUCUGGGUAAGUCGGGGCCUAAGGCGAGGUCGAAAGACGUAGUCGAUGGACAACAGGUUUAGAUUCCUGUACUUCAUGAUAUCAGAACUGUGGGGACACAGAGACAAAGGACGAGCCGGGAAUGGAAAAACCGGUGCAAGCGAGGUAGCUUCAUGGGAGGGAAAGCCCCCAUGUAUAAGGCGAAUGCGUGAAGCGUAGCGAACUUAAAAGUAGCGAAGCGUGUGGAGUCACUGUCAGGAAAAGCCGCUAUUGCGUAUCAUGAACCCGUACCGUAAACCGACACGGGUGGAUGAGGAGAGAAUCCUAAGGCCGACGGAAGAAGCAUUGUUAAGGAAUUCGGCAAAAUGACCCCGUAACUUCGGGAGAAGGGGUGCCUACGAAUGUAGGCCGCAGAGAAUUGGCCCAAGCAACUGUUUAGCAAAAACACAGGUUUAUGCGAAACCGAAGGGUGAAGUAUAUGAGCUGACGCCUGCCCGGUGCUGGAAGGUUAAGGGGAGAGCUUAGAGGCAACUCGAAGGUUCGAACUUAAGCCCCAGUAAACGGCGGCCGUAACAAUAACGGUCCUAAGGUAGCGAAAUUCCUUGUCAGGUAAGUUCCGACCCGCACGAAAGGCGUAAUGAUUUGGGCACUGUCUCGACAAUGCAUCCGGUGAAAUUGAAAUACCAGUGAAGAUGCUGGUUACCCGCGCCAGGACGGAAAGACCCCAUGGAGCUUUACUCCAGUUUGAUGCUGGGAUUCGGUACUGCAUGUACAGGAUAGGCGGGAGACUAGGAAGAUAUAACGCCAGUUGUAUCAGAGUCGCUGUUGGGAUACCGCCCUUGUAGUACUGGGUUUCUAACCUGCCACCGUGAACCGGUGGAGGGACAACGUCAGGCGGGGAGUUUGACUGGGGCGGUCGCCUCCGAAAGGGUAUCGGAGGCGCUCAAAGGUUCCCUCAGAAUGGUUGGAAACCAUUCGAAGAGUGCAAAGGCAGAAGGGAGCUUGACUGCGAGGUCGACGGACCGAGCAGGUACGAAAGUAGGACUUAGUGAUCCGGUGGUAGAAAGUGGGAUUGCCAUCGCUCAACGGAUAAAAGCUACCCUGGGAUAACAGGCUAAUCACUCCCAAGAGUUCACAUCGACGGAGUGGUUUGGCACCUCGAUGCCGGCUCAUCGCAUCCUGGGGCUGUAGCAGGUCCCAAGGGUUGGGCUGUUCGCCCAUUAAAGCGGUACGCGAGCUGGGUUCAGAACGUCGUGAGACAGUUCGGUCCCUAUCCGGCGCGGGCGUAGGAUAUCUGAAAGGAGCUGGCCUUAGUACGAGAGGACCGGGCUGGACGGACCGCUGGUGUAUCUGUUGUCAUACCAAUGGCAUAGCAGGGUAGCCAAGUCUGGAAGGGAUAAACGCUGAAGGCAUCUAAGCGUGAAGCCCCCCUUAAGAUAAGAUAUCCCUGGAGUUAAUCCAGUAAGACCCCUUGAAGACGACGAGGUAGAUAGGGCAGAGGUGGAAGUGUGGUAACACAUGGAGCUGACUGUCACUAAUAGGUCGAGGGCUUGACC
rnacentral:rRNA from 1 species